AUCUACCCUUGGUCAGGUUGAAGUUCAGGUAACACUGAAUGGAGGACCGAACCGACUUACGUUGAAAAGUGAGCGGAUGAACUGAGGGUAGCGGAGAAAUUCCAAUCGAACCUGGAGAUAGCUGGUUCUCUCCGAAAUAGCUUUAGGGCUAGCCUCAAGUGAUGAUUAUUGGAGGUAGAGCACUGUUUGGACGAGGGGCCCCUCUCGGGUUACCGAAUUCAGACAAACUCCGAAUGCCAAUUAAUUUAACUUGGGAGUCAGAACAUGGGUGAUAAGGUCCGUGUUCGAAAGGGAAACAGCCCAGACCACCAGCUAAGGUCCCAAAAUAUAUGUUAAGUGGAAAAGGAUGUGGCGUUGCCCAGACAACUAGGAUGUUGGCUUAGAAGCAGCCAUCAUUUAAAGAGUGCGUAAUAGCUCACUAGUCGAGUGACACUGCGCCGAAAAUGUACCGGGGCUAAACAUAUUACCGAAGCUGUGGAUUGUCCUUUGGACAAUGGUAGGAGAGCGUUCUAAGGGCGUUGAAGCAUGAUCGUAAGGACAUGUGGAGCGCUUAGAAGUGAGAAUGCCGGUGUGAGUAGCGAAAGACGGGUGAGAAUCCCGUCCACCGAUUGACUAAGGUUUCCAGAGGAAGGCUCGUCCGCUCUGGGUUAGUCGGGUCCUAAGCUGAGGCCGACAGGCGUAGGCGAUGGAUAACAGGUUGAUAUUCCUGUACCACCUAUAAUCGUUUUAAUCGAUGGGGGGACGCAGUAGGAUAGGCGAAGCGUGCGAUUGGAUUGCACGUCUAAGCAGUAAGGCUGAGUAUUAGGCAAAUCCGGUACUCAUUAAGGCUGAGCUGUGAUGGGGAGAAGACAUUGUGUCUUCGAGUCGUUGAUUUCACACUGCCGAGAAAAGCCUCUAGAUAGAAAAUAGGUGCCCGUACCGCAAACCGACACAGGUAGUCAAGAUGAGAAUUCUAAGGUGAGCGAGCGAACUCUCGUUAAGGAACUCGGCAAAAUGACCCCGUAACUUCGGGAGAAGGGGUGCUCUUUAGGGUUAACGCCCAGAAGAGCCGCAGUGAAUAGGCCCAAGCGACUGUUUAUCAAAAACACAGGUCUCUGCUAAACCGUAAGGUGAUGUAUAGGGGCUGACGCCUGCCCGGUGCUGGAAGGUUAAGAGGAGUGGUUAGCUUCUGCGAAGCUACGAAUCGAAGCCCCAGUAAACGGCGGCCGUAACUAUAACGGUCCUAAGGUAGCGAAAUUCCUUGUCGGGUAAGUUCCGACCCGCACGAAAGGCGUAACGAUUUGGGCACUGUCUCAACGAGAGACUCGGUGAAAUCAUAGUACCUGUGAAGAUGCAGGUUACCCGCGACAGGACGGAAAGACCCCGUGGAGCUUUACUGUAGCCUGAUAUUGAAAUUCGGCACAG
rnacentral:rRNA from 1 species